UUGAUAAUAAAAAAAUACGUUAUUGCCAAGAUCACGGUCGUAGAUGCAGUUUUCAUAUUCUAUAAAUGUUAUAAUUUCCAACAAAAUCAAAGUCGUCUAUGGGAAAUUAAUAAUUUUACCAUAAAUUCGAUUACUCUACGCACAAAGUUCGGGUAUACUUGUACUGUAUUACAUACGUUCAUAUUUUUAUGAUUUCUCGGUUCAAGAUUUGCUAAUCUCAGGAGAGUAAAAUUAUUACCUUCUGAUUUAUCUAAUAGGUUCGGAAGGAAUACGGUACAGUAAUAUUUAAUGAUCCGAUUUUAGACCUAGAACAGAACUUGACCAAAAAAGAAAAGAAAAGACAAGGUUACCGAAAUUUUGUUCUUAAAAAAAAA